CAGCCGCCGCGGUAACACGUAGGUGGCAAGCGUUGUCCGGAAUUAUUGGGCGUAAAGGGCUCGCAGGCGGUUUCUUAAGUCUGAUGUGAAAGCCCCCGGCUCAACCGGGGAGGGUCAUUGGAAACUGGGAAACUUGAGUGCAGAAGAGGAGAGUGGAAUUCCACGUGUAGCGGUGAAAUGCGUAGAGAUGUGGAGGAACACCAGUGGCGAAGGCGACUCUCUGGUCUGUAACUGACGCUGAGGAGCGAAAGCGUGGGGAGCGAACAGGAUUAGAUACCCGUGUAGUCCCUGUCUCUUAUAC
rnacentral:rRNA from 1 species